rnacentral:ncRNA from 24 species
AGAAGAACAGGCGAUGAUGUUCGCCGCAAAUGAUUGUGUAGCAAUCUGAUGACGUCUACUGAAAC